AUUUGAGUUAGAGGUUGCAUUUUCAAUGAGUAAUUAUUCAGAAGCCGAAUGGGGCAUAUGUUGAAUAAUAGAAAGGUGAAGAUGCCGAAACUUGUAUUGUCCAUUAAAUAUACAGGUUGGGCCAGUUAUCGAAAGAAACUGGACUGUCACAUACGUGAUGUGCUACCUAUAUA
rnacentral:ncRNA from 2 species